rnacentral:rRNA from 1 species
GACAGAGGUGGCGAGCGUUGUCCGGAGUCACUGGGCGUAAAGCGCGCGCAGGCGGCAACCUAAGUGUCGUGUGAAAGCCCCCGGCUCAACCGGGGGAGGCCAUGGCAAACUGGGUCGCUCGAGCUGCGGAGAGGCCCCUCGAAUUGCCGGUGUAGCGGUGAAAUGCGUAGAGAUCGGCAGGAAGACAAAGGGGGAAGCCAGGGGGCUGGCCGCAGGCUGACGCUGAGGCGCGACAGCGUGGGGAGCAAACCGG